rnacentral:rRNA from 1 species
GGGUGCUUGCACCUGAUUCCUAGCGGCGGACGGGUGAGUAAUGCUUAGGAAUCUGCCUAUUAGUGGGGGACAACGUUCCGAAAGGGACGCUCAUACCGCACACGUCCUACGGGAGAAAGCAGGGGAUCUUCGGACCUUGCGCUAAUAUAUGAUCCUAAUUCGGAUUAGCUAGUUGGUGGGGUAAAGGCCUACCAAGGCGACGAUCUGUAGCGGGUCUGAGAGGAUGAUCCGCCACGAUGGGACUAAUACACGGCCCACACUCCUACGGGAGGCAGCAUUGGGGAAUAUUGGACAAUGGGGGGAACCCUGAUCCCCCCAUGCCGCGUGUGUGAAGAAGGCCUUUUGGUUGUAAAGCACUUUAAGCGAGGAGGAGGCUUACCUGGUUAAUACCUGGGAUAAGUGGACGUUACUCGCACAAUAAGCACCGGCUAACUCUGUGCCGAUGCCGCGGUAAUACAGAGGGUGCAAGCGUUAAUCGAUAUUUACUGGGCGUAAAGCGCGCGUAUGUGG